rnacentral:rRNA from 1 species
AGUGAACGCUGGCGGUAGGCCUAACACAUGCAAGUCGAACGGCAGCACAGUAAGAGCUUGCUCUUACGGGUGGCGAGUGGCGGACGGGUGAGUAAUACAUCGGAAUCUACUUUUUCGUGGGGGAUAACGUAGGGAAACUUACGCUAAUACCGCAUACGGCCUACGGGUGAAAGCAGGGGAUCUUCGGACCUUGCGCGAGUGACUGAGCCGAUGUCGGAUUAGCUAGUUGGCGGGGUAAAGGCCCACCAAGGCGACGAUCCGUAGCUGGUCUGAGAGGAUGAUCAGCCACACUGGAACUGAGACACGGUCCAGACUCCUACGGGAGGCAGCAGUGGGGAAUAUUGGACAAUGGGCGCAAGCCUGAUCCAGCCAUACCGCGUGGGUGAAGAAGGCCUUCGGGUUGUAAAGCCCUUUUGUUGGGAAAGAAAAGCAGCAGGUUAAUACCCCGCUGUUCUGACGGUACCCAAAGAAUAAGCACCGGCUAACUUCGUG